AAUGUGCAAUGGAGAUUGUUAAUAUGGAAGUAUCCUAAGAAAUGGCAUACCAUUUGAGAAAAUAAACACACUAGAUUUUGGCACAAAGGAUAAUUAAUUUUACCAUGAAUUAAUGGAGACAGGUUUUUUAUCCUCUUCAUCACCAGAAAUAGUCCCCUUAAUAAGAAACUCUUCCCCAGAUCUGGAAGUUCUGAUCUGAUUCCGUAAGCCUGGGUGACAGGUGUGCAGAGAUAUCAAAUCAUCUAUUGAGAUCAUGCAAAGACUCUGGAAAUACAAUCUCGGCGAGUCCUGGCUGUAGCACUUUUGAUGUCCUCGUCAGUGGCCACAGUCCUGCAAGUUU